rnacentral:rRNA from 1 species
UACGAGGGGUGCAAGCGUUGCUCGGAAUUAUUGGGCGUAAAGGGUAGGUAGGUGGUCUCAUUUGUCUGGGGUGAAAGCCUUGAGCUUAACUCAAGAAGUGCCCCGGAAACGGUGAGACUAGAGUACUGGAGAGGGUCGUGGAAUUCCCGGUGUAGCGGUGAAAUGCGUAGAGAUCGGGAGGAACACCAGAGGCGAAGGCGGCGACCUGGACAGUGACUGACACUGAACUACGAAAGCGUGGGGAGCAAACAGG